UGGGGAAUCUUCCGCAAUGGACGAAAGUCUGACGGAGCAACGCCGCGUGAGUGAAGAAGGUUUUCGGAUCGUAAAACUCUGUCUUUUGGGGCGAACGUGAGUAUGGUGAACAAUCAUAGUCAGUGACGGUACCAAAGGAGGAAGCCACGGCUAACUACGUGCCAGCAGCCGCGGUAAUACGUAGGUGGCAAGCGUUGUCCGGAAUUAUUGGGCGUAAAGAGCGCGUAGGCGGGAUAGUCAGUCUGUUGUAAAAGUGCGGGGCUCAACCCCGUGAUGGCAAUGGAAACAGCUAUUCUUGAGUGCAGGAGAGGAAAGGUGGAAUUCCCAGUGUAGCGGUGAAAUGCGUAGAUAUUGGGAGGAACACCAGUGGCGAAGGCGACUUUCUGGACUGUGUCUGACGCUGAGGCGCNAAAGCCAGGGGGAGCGAACGGGAUUAGAUACCCCGGUAGUCCUGGCCGUAAACGAUGGGUACUAGGUGUGGGAGGUAUCGACCCCCUUCCGUGCCGGAGUUAACGCAAUAAGUACCCCGCCUGGGGAGUACGGUCGCAAGACUGAAACUCAAAGGAAUUGACGGGGUCAUAGCUGUUUCCUG
rnacentral:rRNA from 1 species